AUGAUGGACUUCUGAAUGAAGUCUUCCAUCUUUCCUUCGGUGAUUUGCGCCAGGGGUUCAAUUUCCAUCUACUUGGUGAAAUAGUCCACCGUGACGACUAAGAAUUUUUUUAUAUCAGUUGCCAGAGGGAAGGGAUCGAGUAUGUCGAUUCUUCACUGUGCGAAUAGUUAUGGUACAAUGAUUGAUGUCAAUUGACUUGUCGAUUGAUACUGUAUGUUGGCAUACCUUUGACAUGCUUCAUAUCUUCGAACAAACUCAGCUGCAUCUUUCCUUAUGGUGGACCAGUAGUACCUCUGUCGUUGAACUUUAUAGGUCGAUGAUUUGCCCCCCAAGUAAUUUUUGCAAAUCUCUUCAUGGACUUCUCAGAGAGCAUAAUCAGCUUUAGUAGAUCUCAAGCACUUAAGCAGUGGAAGAGAGAACAACCUUUUAUAUAAUUAUCUGUUCAUCAACACAUAUUGAGAAGCCAUCCACCUUAGUUGUUUGGCUUCCAAUGAAUCUCCUAGAAGGAUAUCGUCGGUUAAGUAUUGAAUGAUCGAAUCCAUCUAGCUUGGUUCAUCAUUUAUUUGAUGCACUUCAUCAACCUUGUCGAUACUCAAUUUUUUGAGAUAUUCGAUGAACAUUUGGCCA
rnacentral:lncRNA from 1 species